rnacentral:rRNA from 1 species
GACGAACGCUGGCGGCGUGCUUAACACAUGCAAGUCGAACGGAAAGGCCCUGCUUUUGUGGGGUGCUCGAGUGGCGAACGGGUGAGUAACACGUGAGUAACCUGCCCUUGACUUUGGGAUAACUUCAGGAAACUGGGGCUAAUACCGGAUAGGAGCUCCUGCUGCAUGGUGGGGGUUGGAAAGUUUCGGCGGUUGGGGAUGGACUCGGGGCUUAUCAGCUUGUUGGUGGGGUAGUGGCUUACCAAGGCUUUGACGGGUAGCCGGCCUGAGAGGGUGACCAGCCACAUUGGGACUGAGAUACGGCCCAGACUCCUACGGGAGGCAGCAGGCGGGAAUAUUGCACAAUGGGCCGAAGCCUGAUGCAGCGACGCCGCGUGCGGGAAGACGGCCUACGGGGGGUGAACCGCUUUCGCCUGUGACGAAGCGUGAGUGACGGUAAUGGGUAAAGAAGCACCGGCUAACUACGUG